rnacentral:miRNA from 1 species
GAUAUGAUAACUAACAAUCA